CCUGGCCGCCAUGGGCCUGGAGGAGGGAGUGAGGCUGCUGAGGGCGCCCGAGCCCCGAGAGAAGCUGCCCAGCACAGAGGCGAAAGAAGACAGCGCCUAUGGGAGCCAGUCCGUGGAACAGGAGGCAGAGAAGCUGGGCCCGUCCCCCGAGCCUCCGGGAGGGCUGUGUCAUGGCCACCCCCAGCCGCAGGUGCACUGAGUAGCCACCCAGCCCCUUCAGACCCUGUACAGCAGUCCCUCCUCGUCAAGUCUUAUUUAAUAAAGAUUGUCACGGGAAGGGGAGGGCCCCUCCUGCUUCCAGCUGCCCCAC